rnacentral:snRNA from 1 species
AAAUUCCUGCGAUCUGGCUGUGACAUCUGUCACCCCAUUGAUCGCCAGGGUUGAUUUGGCUGAUCUGGCUGGCUAGGCGGGUGUCCCCUUCCUCCCUCACUGCUCCAUGUGCGUCCCUCCUGAAGCUGUGCGCUCGGUCGAGGAGGACGACCUUCCCCGCUAGAGGAGGACCGGUCUUCGGUCAAGGGUAUACGAGUAGCUGCGCUCCCCUGCUAGAAACUCCAAACAAGCUCUAUACCCAAAUUUUUUCAAUGUUUUUAUCAUGAAAAUAUUUUGUAUUUUUAAAUGAAUUUGCUUUGUCUAUUU